rnacentral:ncRNA from 1 species
CAGGGUGAUGGAGUUCACCUUAACCGCCUGUAUGGGCUAAUGACUCCUGCA